UAAAAAAGGAAGAAAAGAAACUGUCUCUAGCUAUAUUAAAAGAGAAAACAAGACUUACAAAAUAGUUAUCUGUAAUUAUGAAAAAAGGAUGACAUUGUUGUGUCUUACAAAUCUACCAGAAUAUCAAAGAGAAGAGUGAAAGAAACAAAGGACUAUAUUAUAUAUAACUACUAAAAUCCAGCAUGCCCUCCGUCGCAGGCGGCGCAACCAGUAUCAUCAUCAUCCUUUUCGCUGUGAGGUUUAGUGCCGAUGCAGCAACACACAAGAGCCACCAGCAAGAUGAAUCCCCAAACAAAUGCAAACGAUUGUGCCACCUUCAAGAACUUCUCCAUUUCGAUCUCUUGUGUGUUUUCCUACAAACAAUUCCUCUCCCUUGUCAUUGAUCAUUCAUUACAUGCAUCUCCAAAAAACCUCCCGAAAGCUUUGAAAAAUAUCAUUUGAGUUUCGGCAAAAUUUAAAGAAUGGAACAUCGUAUUUCUUUAUUUAUUAGCUAGAGAAAAAGAGGAAUCAUGAUCAAGAGACCAACAUACAUGUUCGAAGAGUA
rnacentral:lncRNA from 1 species